GGCCGCGGGAAUUCGAUUCAGGCCUAACACAUGCAAGUCGAGCGGUAGAGAGAAGCUUGCUUCUCUUGAGAAAGGCGGACGGGUGAGUAAUGCCUAGGAAUCUGCCUGGUAGUGGGGGAUAACGUUCGGAAACGGACGCUAAUACCGCAUGCGUCCUACGGGAGAAAGCGGGGGACCGUCGGGCCUUGCGCUAUCAGAUGAGCCUAGGUCGGAUUAGCUAGUUGGUGAGGUAAUGGCUCACCAAGGCUACGAUCCGUAACUGGUCUGAGAGGAUGAUCAGUCACACUGGAACGGAGACACGGUCCAGACUCCUACGGGAGGCAGCAGUGGGGAAUAUUGGACAA
rnacentral:rRNA from 1 species